UCAGGCUCGGCCGAUCCUCCCACCCUUUGUGUACCUACCUCUGUUGCUUUGGCGGGCCGCGGUCCUCCGCGGCCGCCCCCCUCCCCGGGGGGGUGGCCAGCGCCCGCCAGAGGACCAUCAAACUCCAGUCAGUAAACGAUGCAGUCUGAAAAACAUUUAAUAAACUAAAACUUUCAACAACGGAUCUCUUGGUUCUGGCAUCGAUGAAGAACGCAGCGAAAUGCGAUAAGUAAUGUGAAUUGCAGAAUUCAGUGAAUCAUCGAAUCUUUGAACGCACAUUGCGCCCUUUGGUAUUCCGAAGGGCAUGCCUGUUCGAGCGUCAUUACAACCCUCAAGCUCUGCUUGGUAUUGGGCACCGUCCUUUGCGGGCGCGCCUCAAAGACCUCGGCGGUGGCGUCUUGCCUCAAGCGUAGUAGAACAUACAUCUCGCUUCGGAGCGCAGGGCGUCGCCCGCCGGACGAACCUUCUGAACUUUUCUCAAGGUUGACCUCGGAUCAGGUAGGGAUACCCGCUGAACUUAAGCAUAUCAUA
rnacentral:rRNA from 1 species